GAUGAACGCUAGCGGCAGGCUUAACACAUGCAAGUCGAGGGGUAUAGUUCUUCGGAACUAGAGACCGGCGCACGGGUGCGUAACGCGUAUGCAAUCUACCUUUUGCAGAGGGAUAGCCCCGAGAAAUUUGGAUUAAUACCUCAUAGUAUGUGAGAAUGGCAUCAUUUUCACAUUAAAGUCACAACGGCAAAAGAUGAGCAUGCGUCCCAUUAGCUUGUUGGUAAGGUAACGGCUUACCAAGGCAACGAUGGGUUGGGGUCCUGAGAGGGAGAUCCCCCACACUGGUACUGAGACACGGACCAGACUCCUACGGGAGGCAGCAGUGAGGAAUAUUGGACAAUGGGCGCAAGCCUGAUCCAGCCAUGCCGCGUGCAGGAUGACGGUCCUAUGGAUUGUAAACUGCUUUUGUACAGGAAGAAACACUGGUUCGUGAACCAGCUUGACGGUACUGUAAGAAUAAGGAUCGGCUAACUCCGUGCCAGCCGCCGCAGUAACAC
rnacentral:rRNA from 1 species